AACGAACGCUGGCGGCAUGCCUAACACAUGCAAGUCGAACGAGACCUUCGGGUCUAGUGGCGCACGGGUGCGUAACGCGUGGGAAUCUGCCCUUGGGUUCGGAAUAACAGUUAGAAAUGACUGCUAAUACCGGAUAAUGUCUUCGGACCAAAGAUUUAUCGCCCAGGGAUGAGCCCGCGUAGGAUUAGCUAGUUGGUGAGGUAAAGGCUCACCAAGGCGACGAUCCUUAGCUGGUCUGAGAGGAUGAUCAGCCGCACUGGGACUGAGACACGGCCCAGACUCCUACGGGAGGCAGCAGUGGGGAAUAUUGCGCAAUGGGCGAAAGCCUGACGCAGCGACGCCGCGUGUGGGGAUGACGGCCUUCGGUGUAACCACUCGUCGCGAGGGACGAAGAUCUGACGGUACCUCGAAAGGAAGCACCGGCUAACUCCUGUGCCAGCAGCCG
rnacentral:rRNA from 1 species